GGCGGUAUAGCUCAGUAGAGCGCAUGCUUAGCAUGCAUGAGGUCCUGGGUUCAAUCCCCAGUACCUCCA
rnacentral:tRNA from 1 species